CACGUAGGGUCCGAGCGUUGUCCGGAAUUACUGGGCGUAAAGCGUGCGCAGGCGGUUUUGUAAGUCUGACGUGAAAUCCCCGGGCUCAACCUGGGAAUUGCGUUGGAGACUGCAAGGCUAGAAUCUGGCAGAGGGGGGUAGAAUUCCACGUGUAGCAGUGAAAUGCGUAGAGAUGUGGAGGAACACCGAUGGCGAAGGCAGCCCCCUGGGUCAAGAUUGACGCUCAUGCACGAAAGCGUGGGGAGCAAACAGG
rnacentral:rRNA from 1 species